rnacentral:rRNA from 1 species
GUUGAACGCUGGCGGCAUGCCUUACACAUGCAAGUCGAGCGGUAACGGGCCUUCGGGUGCCGACGAGUGGCGAACGGGUGAGUAAUACAUCGGAACGUGCCCGAUCGUGGGGGAUAACGAGGCGAAAGCUUUGCUAAUACCGCAUACGAUCUACGGAUGAAAGCAGGGGACCGCAAGGCCUUGCGCGGACGGAGCGGCCGAUGGCAGAUUAGGUAGUUGGUGGGAUAAAAGCUUACCAAGCCGACGAUCUGUAGCUGGUCUGAGAGGAUGAUCAGCCACACUGGGACUGAGACACGGCCCAGACUCCUACGGGAGGCAGCAGUGGGGAAUUUUGGACAAUGGGCGCAAGCCUGAUCCAGCCAUGCCGCGUGCAGGAUGAAGGCCUUCGGGUUGUAAACUGCUUUUGUACGGAACGAAAAGCCUUCUUUUAAUACAGGAGGGUCAUGACGGUACCGUAAGAAUAAGCACCGGCUAACUACGUG